rnacentral:rRNA from 1 species
AUUGAACGCUGGCGGCAGGCCUAACACAUGCAAGUCGAACGGUAACAGGAAGAAGCUUGCUUUUUUGCUGACGAGUGGCGGACGGGUGAGUAAUGUCUGGGAAACUGCCUGAUGGAGGGGGAUAACUACUGGAAACGGUAGCUAAUACCGCAUAACGUCGCAAGACCAAAGAGGGGGACCUUCGGGCCUCUUGCCAUCGGAUGUGCCCAGAUGGGAUUAGCUAGUAGGUGGGGUAACGGCUCACCUAGGCGACGAUCCCUAGCUGGUCUGAGAGGAUGACCAGCCACACUGGAACUGAGACACGGUCCAGACUCCGUCGGGAGGCAGCAGUGGGGAAUAUUGGACAAUGGGCGCAAGCCUGAUGCAGCCAUGCCGCGUGUAUGAAGAAGGCCUUCGGGUUGUAAAGUACUUUCAGCGGGGAGGAAGGGAGUAAAGUUAAUACCUUUGCUCAUUGACGUUACCCGCAGAAGAAGCACCGGCUAACUCCGUG